CGGAGUUUCAUCUCUCCUCAAUUAAACUUCCUCUAGCACGUGCCGAGUGCUGGAGGAUUUUUGUGUCAUUAUUUUUUUAAUUAUAAUUCUACAAUGGACACAGUUCUGAAGGACAGACUGGUUCAGGGAAGACCUUUACCAUGCUGGGACCGAACAAGCUAAAAGAUUUCUCUGAUGAGCUGCGUGGUGAUAUUCCUCGAAGCAUUGAGCACUUAUUCCUCCUUAUCAGCAGAGAGGUGGAAAAGUUUGCGCAGUCUGCAGUAACAAAGCGAUUCUGAUGUAAAUGUUCUUUUAUUGAGAUCUACAAUGAGCAGAUCUUUGACCUCCUGCACAGCGCCUCAGCACGUCGGCCUCUCAGAGAGGACAAGAAGAAAAGAAAGUUUGUGCAAGGAGCAGUGGAGAACUAUGCAGCUUCAGCCGCAGGGGCUUACCGGUGACGGUGCACUUCAGUGAAGGAACUCCAACGCUUCCUGGGGUUUGCUAACUUCUAUCGGCGGUUCACUGUGAUCACAGACCACAAAAACCUCCAAUAUAUCCGCGAGGCGAAGAGGCUGAACACUCGACAGGUGCGGUGGGCUUUGUUCUUCACCCGUGUCCACUUCCAGAUCACGUUCCGACCUGGUUCGGAAAACGGUAAAGCUAACGGUAUGGACCGGAAGAACCCACGGAACCGGAGCCCAUCAUACCCACCAAGUUGAUGCUCAGUCCUAUAGUUUGGGAUCUCAAUGAGGAAAUCCACACCGCAGGGGAUCUGAAGGUCGCACGUUCGUAACUAUGGUAUAUUGGUACAACUGUGUUACAUGUAUUACGGUAUCAAGGCGGUUCAUGAGGUCCCCGGCUCGGGCCACCCUGGGAGGAAACGCACCAUUCUCCUCACCCAAGCUCGCUACUGGUGGCCGGGGAUGAACCAUGAGAUCGCCCAGUAGUUCCACACUGCCCAUCCACAGCGGCCUUGUUUUAUUUUUUUCUGUAAGAUUAAAGGUCAUUACAUACAUUAUAUUUUUUUCAGUACACUAAGCAAUAGGACAAACAUCUGGAAUAGUUUACUGGUUUAAAAGUAAAUGUUUAAUUAAUAUAAAUAUUUGUACAUGAAAACAGUAGAGUAAUAAUUAUAAAAUGGCUAUAAAAAUAUCAGUGUGAAACAAAAUACUCUGUCAAAUAACAGCAAUUUUUCCUAUUAGUUUAGAAUACAAUUUAUUUUAAUAAUUACUUAUUUGUUGUUUGGCAGUGAUCAAUGAUUAAUUAUAUAUUUAUUGCAAUAAUAUAAUAUUUCCUUGAUACUAAUUUAUUUUAUUCAUAUUGUAUUGGUAUGUUAUAAAAAAUAGAAAUUAAAAUGUAUACUUUUAAAAUAAAAAUAAAUGAAGUGAAACGCCUGUCGUGAUCGUAUGACUGUGUUGAGUCGUGUGUAUGAUGUGUUUGAACAGUGUGUUAUUUAUCAGUUCUUUUAGCACUGCAUCCAUUUUUUUUCUUCUUUGCAGGUCUCGGGGCACGACUUCACCUCUCCAGUCCAACAGUGGACAAACUGGUUCAGGGAACACCAUGUUGGGACCGAACAAGCUAAAAGAUUUCUCUGAUGAGCUGCGUGGUGUUAUUCCUCGUAGCAUUGAGCAUUUAUUCCUCCUUAUCAGCAGAGAGGUGGAAAAGUCUGCGAUUCUGGUGUAAAUGUUCUUUUAUUGAGAUCUACAAUGAGCAGAUCGUUGACCUCCUGCACAGCACCUCAGCACGUCGGCCUCUCAGAGAGCACAAGAAGAAAAGAGUGUUUGUGCAACGGUGCACUUCAGUGAAGGAACUCCAACGCUUCCUGGGGUUUGCUAACUUCUAUCGGCGGUUCAUACGGGGUUUCAGCCUGGUUACAGCCCCUUUUACCUUGGCCCCCCCGAGGGAAGGCCAAGACAUUCACCUGGACCCCGGAAGCAGAGGAAGCCUUUGACGAACUGCGCAGAAGGUUCUGCACUGCUCCCCUGCUACACCACCCUAACCCCCAACUCCCGUUCGUCGUUGAGGUGGAUGCUUCCGCCACCAGUGUCGAAGCUGCCCUUCCCAGCAGGCGGGGGAUCCCGCACGCCUGCACCCCUGCGCCUACUUCUCCAGGAAGUUUUCUGCUGCAGAACCGAACUACGACAUCGGCAAUAGGGAGCUCCUAGCCAUCAAACUGGCCUUGGAGGAGUGGCAACACUGGCUGGAGGGGGCCUCGCAUCCUUUCACUGUGAUCAUAGACCACAAAAACCUCCAAUAUAUCCGCGAGGCGAAGAGGCUGAACACUCGACAGGCGCGGUGGGCUUUGUUCUUCGCCCGGUUCCACUACCAGAUCACGUACCGACCUGGCUCGGAAAACGGUAAAGCAGAUGCCCUCUCCCGCCUAUAUGGACCUGAAGAACCCACGGAACCGGAGCCCAUCAUACCCACCAAGUUGAUUCUCAGUCCUAUAGUUUGGGAUCUCGUUCAGGAAAUCCACACCGCCAUGGGCUCUGAAGGGCACACAGUCGUAACUAUGGUAUAUUGGUGCAACUGUGUUACAUGUAUUACGGUAUCAAGGCGGUUCAUGAGGUCCCCGGGCCACCCUGGGAGGAAACGCACCAUUCUCCUCGCCCAAGCUCGCUACUGGUGGCAGGGGAUGAACCAUGAGAUCACCCAGUAGUUCCACGCUGCUCAUCCACAGCGGCCGGCACUCCGCCAUCGCAGUCAACCUUGACGCCGGGUCUGGGUGUCAAGAGCCGCCCCUGGCGGAGGGGGUGAUGUCAGGGAUCCACCAGCCUCGCCUCUCCUCAACACCCCGCCUGCACAGAGUGAGUACUAAAUACCAUACUAAUGCCAUAUUAAAUACGGGCACCUGGCGCUCAUCAGCCCAGGGCCUACUUAAGGCCUCUCCUCCUUCUCUCAGAUUAUGCUGGGUCAACACCCAAGGACUCAUCUCUACCUUUCAACAGGACUUUCUGGUUUCUAGUGACUUUCCCAGUUCGGAAUCUAACUCCUGCCUUCCUGAUCACCAUACGGAUAUUAACCCCGAACUUUACCCUGUUGGUUUUGUGCUGUUCUACUGCAUUAAACUCGUAAAAUGGACUUUGGUUUCCGCCUGUGUUUGUCAGCCUGACAAUCCAUCCUUGACAUGACCAGCUGAAAAUAUAACAGUAAAUAAGUGUAUGUUGAAAAUCUCA